AAUCUACCAAGUAAAUGCUGCAACAAACACUAUGGAGGCAAAAUUCCAGCCGCAGUAGUGAAAUCCUGUGAAGUAACAGAUACCAGAUGCCCCAUGGCUGCUGUAAUCAUAACCACAAGAAAAGGAAUCAGGGUCUGCAUUAACCCAGAGAAGCAAGAUAAAAUAAUGAAGAAAUGUUUAUCACUGGAAGAUAAGAAGAAUGCUUAAAUGAAACACAUGCUUUCAUUUGUUUAUCAGUUUCUAAUGAUGUAAACAGAUAAAUUGAUAAUAAGAAGUAUUAUGGGAUAAGACAUAUAUGCAAGUAUUUAUUUGUUUAUUAAUGUGGAAACUUAUGGUUAUAAAUAAAAUAUAAUGUAUAAAAGAAA